rnacentral:rRNA from 1 species
ACAAUGGGCGAAAGCCUGAUCCAGCCAUGCCGCGUGUGUGAAGAAGGUCUUCGGAUUGUAAAGCACUUUAAGUUGGGAGGAAGGGUACUUACCUAAUACGUGAGUAUUUUGACGUUACCGACAGAAUAAGCACCGGCUAACUCU